AGUGCUUAAUGCGUUACUGCGGCACCGAGGGGGGUAACCCCGACACCUAGCACUCAUCGUUUACGGCGUGGACUACCAGGGUAUCUAAUCCUGUUCGCUCCCCACGCUUUCGUGCCUCAGCGUCAGUUACAGUCCAGAGAGCCGCCUUCGCAACUGGUAUUCCUCCUAAUAUCUACGCAUUUCACCGCUACACUAGGAAUUCUACUCUCCUCUCCUGCACUCAAGCCCUACAGUUUCAAAAGCUUACUACGGUUGAGCCGUAGCCUUUCACUUCUGACUUGCAGGGCCGCCUACGCACCCUUUACGCCCAGUUAUUCCGGAUAACGCUUGCCCCCUACGUAUUACCGCGGCUGCUGGCACGUAGUUAGCCGGGGCUUCCUCCUAAGGUACCGUCAUUAUCUUCCCUUAGGACAGAGCUUUACGACCCGAAGCCUUCAUCGCUCACGCGGCGUUGCUGCAUCAGGGUUUCCCCCAUUGUGCAAUAUUCCCCACUGCUGCCUCCCGUAGAGUCUGGACCGUGUCUCAGUUCCAGUGUGGCCGAUCACCCUCUCAGGUCGGCUACCCAUCGUCGCCUUGGUAAGCUUUUACCUCACCAACUAGCUAAUGGGACGCGGGUCCAUCCUACACCGAUAAAUYCUUUGAAAUUUCUAAGAUGSCYUWAAAAUGUAUAUCUCGUAUUAGCAUAUCUUCGAUAUGUUAUCGUGUGUAUAGGGCANGNUAMCCACGCGUUACUCACCCGUCCGCCGCUAAGAUUAAGAAGCAAGCUUCUUAAUCUCCGCUCGACUUGCAU
rnacentral:rRNA from 1 species